GGGGCAGUAGCUCAGAUGGUUAGAGCAACAAAAAUUACUUUUCGCUGCAGGCAACUAAAGUUCCUAUAAAUCGCCAAGAUUGUGGGUCACAGGUUCGAGUCCUGUCUGCUCCUCAA
rnacentral:tRNA from 1 species